AGCUCAAGGAUUACUAGCCCUAGGGCUCUAUACGCUAUACUGAGAUACACUCUUUUAUGAUGAAAGAUCAAUAAGCUGAGAGCU